GACGAACGCUGGCGGCGUGCUUAACACAUGCAAGUCGAACGGAAAGGCCCUGCUUUUGUGGGGUGCUCGAGUGGCGAACGGGUGAGUAACACGUGAGUAACCUGCCCUUGACUUUGGGAUAACUUCAGGAAACUGGGGCUAAUACCGGAUAGGAGCUCCUGCUGCAUGGUGGGGGUUGGAAAGUUUCGGCGGUUGGGGAUGGACUCGCGGCUUAUCAGCUUGUUGGUGGGGUAGUGGCUUACCAAGGCUUUGACGGGUAGCCGGCCUGAGAGGGUGACCGGCCACAUUGGGACUGAGAUACGGCCCAGAAUCCUACGGGAGGCAGCAGUGGGGAAUAUUGCACAAUGGGCGGAAGCCUGAUGCAGCAACGCCGGGUGCGGGAUGACGGCCUUCGGGUUGUAAACCGCUUUCGCCUGUGACGAAGCGUGAGUGACGGUAAUGGGUAAAGAAGCACCGGCUAACUACGUG
rnacentral:rRNA from 1 species